rnacentral:hammerhead_ribozyme from 1 species
GCACCGCUGAGGAGUCUCACAAUAGGAUGAAACGGUCGUUCGGUGC